GCAGGGUCUAGGAUUCCUUUAUAAGGCGCAGCAACAACAAAAAAAGAUGAUCAGCUACAUUAAAGGAGAUAUCCUGGUAGCAGUGUCUAACUGAAUAGGACUUUAUAACAUUUUAUUUGUAUAAUUUAUUGGAUUUGUUGCCUGCUAAUUGGAGGGAUAACCUGUUCUCUUUCACCUAAAGGUAAUUAUAGAUCUAUUCCCAAAACUGCAUUAAAAGGAACCGGCUCUUAUGCCCCAGCAACAAAAGGAACCGGCUCUUAUGCCCCAGCAACAAAAGGAACCGGCUCUUAUGCCCCAGUAACAAAAGGAACCGGCUCUUAUGCCCCAGUAACAAAAGGAACCGGCUCUUAUGCCCCAGCAACAAAAGGAACCGGCGCUCUUUCCCCAGCAACAGAAGGAACCACAAGGAAAGGCUCAUGGGAUGCAAUGUACAACUUUACUCAUCUGAACUUCGCUUUCUGAUUUUGAAAUCCGUUGUACUCAUUAUCUAUCAACAGAAUUCUAAUGGUGGAAUCCUCUUUUGGAUGCUCCAAUAGUAGGACUUGAUUUUAAUAACCAAAAAUGAUGACACAUUUUAGUAGUUGCUGACACUUUCUUUUAGGUUCCACUGUAUGCUUUUGAUUUGGCCAGGGAGUUACUGCUGCUCCUACUACCCUGCAUUACUUGAACAAUAAAAUAUUUUACAUUUUA